AUGGCACUUAAACCUAAGCAGGUCCAGAAACAGCCAAAGUCUCUCAUCCACCACCCCACUAAUGCCACCUCCAACUCACAGCUGCUGUUGGACCUGACCAAGCCUCCCAUGGGGCACCUCUCUCGGGCGUCUCUCAGGGGCUGGGGUCAUCUCUCCCAGCUCUGUGUCCCAGUGAUGACUGUGGAUACUGUAGUGGGCCAACCAGGUGGGCUCCUGUUGCCAUUACCGGGCUUCUCAAGAGGCUUGGAAAGGCCAAGACUGGUGUGGGUGGCAUUGGGGGCGAUGAUACCUAUACAGACUCCCCAUAUGCUCCAUGCCACCGAAUCCCACUGGCUGACUCGCCACAUCACCCUCCCACCUUCUGCUUGUGGAAUUAACAUGGGCAUCUGCCUGACCAUCCCAUCAGGGCCUCUCCCUCCUCCUGCAAUACUCUGUUAUUCAUGUGGGACAGACCUAUGGCAGGCAUCUCGGGUGUGUGUGUGUAUGUGUGCCUGGAAUUUGGAAGCCACAUCUAAGCAGGGGAAUGGACGGGGACAUCCAUCUCUCAGCGAAAGGUUAGGCCUUGCUCCUCUGGGAGAAGAUGUUAUCCUGCUCCUGCCUUUGGGGCAAAAGAGACUUUAGCAGAAACAGAGAACGAGUCCUUUAGCGCGAUUUACUUUUCCUUUGGAGAACGGCUCCGCGAGGGGCGAUCCGCGGAAGCAUUGGACCGGCGGCGCAGGGAAGGAGGUGCCCGGCUCUUUCUCUACCCCGAGAGUCGCCCUUUGCCAGAGAAGAAAAGCGGUCGCCGGCACCGAAUCACGACAUACAAGGAGAAUUAAACCCACACACGCACCCCGGUCGGCUGCGGAAGCUGGAACCGACCCAGGCAUCCUCCCGAGCGCUCCGGGCUGGGCAGGAGGCGCCCCUUGGUCUCUUGCUCUACUAGCAGAACGGGGGGGGGGCGGGGGAAGGGGCGCGCCAGUGUCACCAGUGUCAUCGGAAUACGAGCGAGGGCAGGCGGGAGGGCGCGCGAGGGACUUCGCCUCCUUGCCAGGGGUCCGAGGAG
rnacentral:lncRNA from 1 species